rnacentral:misc_RNA from 1 species
AAGAGAACUGCUUGGAGACAUCCUCCAUGACCGGAUGCUGAUGUUUCACCAAUCAGACCACCAUUGAGAGAAGUAUUUCUUUGAUGGUCGCUGAUCCAAACCUCUCCAUCCAUUAUACUUAGAAAACAGGAUCCUACUCCAAAGCUGGUCUGAUUGGUGAAACAUCAGCCAUUUCCAUUUAAUUAGCAAAGCAUUAUUAAGUGCCUUAAUAUCUUUAAUUCCCAAGCCUCCCUUAGCUCUAGGAGCACACACUUUACUC